AACGAACGCUGGCGGCAUGCCUAACACAUGCAAGUCGAACGAGACCUUCGGGUCUAGUGGCGCACGGGUGCGUAACGCGUGGGAACCUGCCUUUAGGUUCGGAAUAACUCAGAGAAAUUUGAGCUAAUACCGGAUAAUGUCUUCGGACCAAAGAUUUAUCGCCUUUAGAUGGGCCCACGUAAGAUUAGCUAGUUGGUGGGGUAAAGGCCUACCAAGGCGACGAUCUUUAGCUGGUCUGAGAGGAUGAUCAGCCACACUGGGACUGAGACACGGCCCAGACUCCUACGGGAGGCAGCAGUGGGGAAUAUUGGACAAUGGGCGAAAGCCUGAUCCAGCAAUGCCGCGUGAGUGAUGAAGGCCUUAGGGUUGUAAAGCUCUUUUACCCGAGAUGAUAAUGACAGUAUCGGGAGAAUAAGCUCCGGCUAACUCCGUGCCAGCAGCCGCGGU
rnacentral:rRNA from 1 species